rnacentral:rRNA from 1 species
UACGUAGGGUGCAAGCGUUAUCCGGAAUUACUGGGCGUAAAGCGUGCGCAGGCGGUUUUGUAAGUCUGACGUGAAAUCCCCGGGCUCAACCUGGGAAUUGCGUUGGAGACUGCAAGGCUGGAGUCUGGCAGAGGGGGGUAGAAUUCCACGUGUAGCAGUGAAAUGCGUAGAGAUGUGGAGGAACACCGAUGGCGAAGGCAGCCCCCUGGGUCAAGACUGACGCUCAUGCACGAAAGCGUGGGGAGCAAACAGG